GUCAUUAUAUCACAUUUGUGUCGGUUUUCUUUGAUCGUCCGAGGUUUAUAACUAGCUUAUAUACCUUGAAUAAAUGAUUAGAUUAAACUUGUAGACAAAACGCGAGAAUUUUUCAUUAAAAAUUUUUGAAAAUGACAAAAUAUGUUAGAAAACCUCCACAAAUGUGGUAUAAGUUAGUUAUAUAAACCUCGAAAGUCGGUUUAUAACUUAUAUAUUGCCCUCGGACGCUACGCGUCCUCGGGGGCAAUAUAUCAGUUAUAAACCUCCUACUCGGUUUAUAACUCUAACUUAUU